AAAUUGAAGAGUUUGAUCAUGGCUCAGAUUGAACGCUGGCGGCAGGCCUAACACAUGCAAGUCGAACGGUAACAGGAAGCAGCUUGCUGCUUUGCUGACGAGUGGCGGACGGGUGAGUAAUGUCUGGGAAACUGCCUGAUGGAGGGGGAUAACUACUGGAAACGGUGGCUAAUACCGCAUAACGUCGCAAGACCAAAGAGGGGGACCUUCGGGCCUCUUGCCAUCAGAUGUGCCCAGAUGGGAUUAGCUUGUUGGUGAGGUAACGGCUCACCAAGGCGACGAUCCCUAGCUGGUCUGAGAGGAUGACCAGCCACACUGGAACUGAGACACGGU
rnacentral:rRNA from 2 species